UGGGGAAUAUUGGGCAAUGGGCGCAAGCCUGACCCAGCAACGCCGCGUGAAGGAAGAAGGCCCUCGGGUUGUAAACUUCUUUUAUCAGGGACGAAGCAAGUGACGGUACCUGAUGAAUAAGCCACGGCUAACUACGUGCCAGCAGCCGCGGUAAUACGUAGGUGGCGAGCGUUAUCCGGAUUUACUGGGUGUAAAGGGCGUGUAGGCGGGAAAGCAAGUCAGGCGUGAAAACUCAGGGCUCAACCCUGAGCCUGCGCUUGAAACUGUUUUUCUUGAGUGAUGGAGAGGCAGGCGGAAUUCCGUGUGUAGCGGUGAAAUGCGUAGAUAUACGGAGGAACACCAGUGGCGAAGGCGGCCUGCUGGACAUUAACUGACGCUGAGGCGCGAAAGCGUGGGGAGCAAACAGG
rnacentral:rRNA from 1 species